CGCCUUUCUCCUGAACCUCUCUUACCGAACCCCACUCACGCAUAGUCUUCUCCUCCUGCGAAUCCCUCUCACGCUUACAUACUUGUCUCCUCAUCUCAGCUCACACCCUCUCCGGCGAACCCCUCUCCAGCGAACCCCUCUCCGGCGAACUCCUCUUCGUCUAAUGAUACUCUACCGAAUCCCUCUCCCACUGAACCUAAAAUCUAGCAUCCGGAUUCAGGAGCCAUCAUCUCUUCAUGCUACAGAUUUCUCCCGAUUGAGAGUAGUGCUACAACCGGCUUCAUCAAUCGACAACCUCUUUGUCGACAGAUCUCUUGCCGAAGAAGCUUCAUCCGGCCAUCCCACACAACUUCUUCGUCACCAGCACAACUCAACCCACUCCAUCCAGAUCACACUCGCAUUCCCUCUCUGAUCAUCUCUCAUCCGUUGCUCUUCUUCCGAGAAUCGGACAACAACCGUCUCUCAGUUCAGGCCUUCCAAGCUCCUCAGAUCAGUUCCAUCUGAAACUUCCAACAAUAGCCUUCAAGAUCCGGAUAGCAUUGUGCCUUUUCAGAUAUUUUGAAGGUGAAUGGAGGUAUU